UACGUAGGGGGCUAGCGUUGUUCGGAAUUACUGGGCGUAAAGGGUCUGUAGGUGGCUUGCUAAGUCAGACGUGAAAUCCCUCAGCUUAACUGGGGAACUGCGUCUGAUACUGGCGAGCUUGAGUGCAGGAGAGGAACGCGGAAUUCCAGGUGUAGCGGUGAAAUGCGUAGAUAUCUGGAGGAACACCGGUGGCGAAGGCGGCAUCCUGGACCGGUAUUGACGCUGAGGCGCGAAAGCCAGGGGAGCAAACGGG
rnacentral:rRNA from 1 species